AUUGGAAGCUGAUAAUUCUGUGCAUGUUUCAGAAAGGAUCAAAACUGUGCAAGGCCAUUUGAAGGAUUAAAGUUUGUGGAUGUUGGUUGUGGUGGGGGAAUUAUAUCUGAGCCUUUGGCUCGUAUGGGAGCUAGUGUAAUGGGCAUAGAUGCUGUGGAAAAGAAUAUCAAGAUUGCACAACUUCACGCUGAUUUGGAUCCUAUAACCUCAUCCAUAGACUAUCGUUGCACAACAGCUGAAAAGCUGGUGGAAGAACAGAGACAAUUUGAUGCUGUAAUUGCAUUAGAGGUACGUCAAUGUGUUGAUGCUGGAGCAACUUCCUUGUGAUGACGUGAUUGCUUAAGAAACACAAUAGCAUAUUAUACUAAAGACCACGCGAGCGUACGGUAGAGUAAUAGUACGUUUGAUAAGGCUUUUUCAAACGUAUAAGCUGGUCAAACAUUAAUUUUAUCCACGCAGGACCCAUAACUUUUAUCCACUUUUUAUUCCUACAUUCUGUAGGACUCAAGCUUAUGCUGAAGACUUAUUUGGCAUAGCUUCUACUUUGCUUGUUGUAGAAGAGUUUUUUCAAAAUGUCAUGAGUCAGUUUUUUCUAAAAACUCUUCUAAUCAAAUAAAGCACUUCGAGAAAAUUACACGCACAGGUCCAAAUGUAGUUCUUAGUCUCAAAAGUAGAUUUUUUUGUUUUUCAGAAGCCAAGCCAAACGUGCCCUAAAUUGCUAAUGUUAUGCCAUAUAUUUUUGCAUUAUGAGCCCGUUUGAGCCACAUUAUUUGUAGAAUGAGAAUGAAAAAUAAAGUCGUUAUGGG